GCCAUUUUUGCCGUAGAUGGUCGAUCCCGGUCGGUGGACAAACGGGAGUGGACAAUUUUGGCUCGAAUUUGGUCGACCCAGGUCCGCAAUCCCGACUGCAACUGGCCGAACGGCAGCUGGCCAUUUUGGCCGUAGGUAGUCGAUCCCGGUCGGUGGACAAACGGGAGUGGACAAUUUUGGUUCGAAUUUGGUCGACCCAGGUCCGCAAUCCCGACUGCAACUGGCCGAACGGCAGCUGGCCAUUUUGGCCGUAGGUAGUCGAUCCCGGUCGGUGGACAGACGGAGAGUGGACAAUUUUGGGUCGAAGUUGGUUGACCCAGGUCCGCAAUCCGGACUGCAACUGGUUGAACGGCAGCCGGCCACUUUGGAAGUAGGUAUCCCGGCCGUUGGACACACGGAGAGUGGACAAUUCUGGUUCGAAGUUGGUUGAACCGGGUCCGCAAUCCAGACAGCAACUGGCCGAACAGCCAGGGGCGAAAACAGCCCUCUUCGCGCGCCGGAAAACUGAUCUGGCCGAACGGCAACUGCCCAAUUUGGCCGUAGUUGGUCGAUCCCGGUCGGUGGACAGACGGGAGUGGACAAUUUUGGGUCGACCCAGGUCCGCCAUCCCGACUGCAACUGGCGAACGGCAGCUGGCCAUUUUGGCCGUAGGUGGACUGACGGAGAGUGGACAAUUUUGGGUCGAAGUUGGUUGACCCGGGUCCGCAAUCCGGACUGCAACUGACCGAACAGCAAGUGGCGAGAACAGCCCUCUUCGCGCGCCACUGCCAAAUUUGGCCUUAGGUGGUCGAUCUCGAUCGGUGGACAGGCGGGAGUGGACAAUUUUGGGUCGAAUUUGGUCGACCCAGGUCCGCCAUCCCAACUCGAC